UACGUAGGGUGCGAGCGUUGUCCGGAAUUAUUGGGCGUAAAGGGCUCGUAGGCGGUUUGUCACGUCGGGAGUGAAAACUCGGGGCUCAACCCCGAGCCUGCUUCCGAUACGGGCAGACUAGAGGUAUGCAGGGGAGAAUGGAAUUCCUGGUGUAGCGGUGAAAUGCGCAGAUAUCAGGAGGAACACCGAUGGCGAAGGCAGGUCUCUGGGCAUUAACUGACGCUGAGGAGCGAAAGCAUGGGGAGCGAACAGG
rnacentral:rRNA from 1 species